UGGCUGGGUCGCAGUAGUGGUGAGACCGACUGGACCUUUAUUCUUCUAGAAAUGCCGUCAAGAGAAUGACGUGGCUUGGUCGCAGUAGUGGCGAGACCGACUGGACCUUUAUUCUUCUAGAAAUUCCGUCAAGAGAAUGACGUGGCUUGGUCGCAGUAGUGGCGAGACCGACUGGACCUUUAUUCUUCUAGAAAUGCCGUCAAGAGAAUGACGUGGCUGGG
rnacentral:lncRNA from 1 species